UCGACGGUAACAGGAAACAGCUUGCUGUUUCGCUGACGAGUGGCGGACGGGUGAGUAAUGUCUGGGAAACUGCCUGAUGGAGGGGGAUAACUACUGGAAACGGUAGCUAAUACCGCAUAACGUCGCAAGACCAAAGAGGGGGACCUUCGGGCCUCUUGCCAUCGGAUGUGCCCAGAUGGGAUUAGCUAGUAGGUGGGGUAACGGCUCACCUAGGCGACGAUCCCUAGCUGGUCUGAGAGGAUGACCAGCCACACUGGAACUGAGACACGGUCCAGACUCCUACGGGAGGCAGCAGUGGGGAAUAUUGCACAAUGGGCGCAAGCCUGAUGCAGCCAUGCCGCGUGUAUGAAGAAGGCCUUCGGGUUGUAAAGUACUUUCAGCGGGGAGGAAGGGAGUAAAGUUAAUACCUUUGCUCAUUGACGUUACCCGCAGAAGAAGCACCGGCUAACUCCGUGCCAGCAGCCGCGGUAAUACGGAGGGUGCAAGCGUUAAUCGGAAUUACUGGGCGUAAAGCGCACGCAGGCGGUUUGUUAAGUCAGAUGUGAAAUCCCCGGGCUCAACCUGGGAACUGCAUCUGAUACUGGCAAGCUUGAGUCUCGUAGAGGGGGGUAGAAUUCCAGGUGUAGCGGUGAAAUGCGUAGAGAUCUGGAGGAAUACCGGUGGCGAAGGCGGCCCCCUGGACGAAGACUGACGCUCAGGUGCGAAAGCGUGGGGAGCAAA
rnacentral:rRNA from 1 species